rnacentral:rRNA from 1 species
GACGAACGCUGGCGGCGUGCUUAACACAUGCAAGUCGAACGGGCCUUGUCCCCUUUUUUUUGGGGGUGGGGUUAGUGGCGAACGGGUGAGUAACACGUGAGUAACCUGCCCCUCACUUCUGGAUAACCGCUUGAAAGGGUGGCUAAUACGGGGUGUUCUGGCCUGCUCGCAUGGGUGGGUUUGGAAAGAUUCGACCGGUUUUGGUUGUUUUGGUGGGGGAUGGGCUCGUGGCCUAUCAGCUUGUUGGUGGGGUGAUGGCCUGCCAAGGCUUUGACGGGUAGCCGGCCUGGGAGGGUGGGCGGUCACACUGGGACUGAGACACGGCCCAGACUCCUACGGGAGGCAGCAGUGGGGAAUAUUGCACAAUGGGCGCAAGCCUGAUGCAGCGACGCCGCGUGAGGGAUGGAGGCCUUCGGGUUGUGAACCUCUUUCGCCAGUGAAGAAGGUCCUGCUCUUUGUGGUGGGGUUGACGGUAGCUGGGUUAAUGAAGCGCCGGCUAACUACGUG